rnacentral:rRNA from 1 species
AACGAACGCUGGCGGCAGGCUUAACACAUGUAAGUCGAACGCCCCGCAAGGGGAGUGGCAGACGGGUGAGUAACGCGUGUGAACCUACCCAUCUCUGCGGAAUAGCUCCGGGAAACUGGAAUUAAUACCGCAUACGCCCUACGGGGGAAGAUUUAUCGGGGAUGGAUGAGCCCGCGUUGGAUUAGCUAGUUGGUGGGGUAAAGGCCUACCAAGGCGACGAUCCAUAGCUGGUCUGAGAGGAUGAUCAGCCACAUUGGGACUGAGACACGGCCCAAACUCCUACGGGAGGCAGCAGUGGGGAAUAUUGGACAAUGGGCGCAAGCCUGAUCCAGCCAUGCCGCGUGAGUGAUGAAGGCCUUAGGGUUGUAAAGCUCUUUCACCGGUGAAGAUAAUGACGGUAACCGGAGAAGAAGCCCCGGCUAACUUCGUGCCAGCCGCCGCAGUAA